rnacentral:sRNA from 1 species
GCGCGACCGAAGCGGACAAGGGACGUGGCGGCGGUUGGCUGUGGCUGUUGAGAGAGUACAGGACAGCCAGGACCGCGAGAGGCGGCGGCGGAGGCAGUAGUUGCACCGGCAGAGGCGGCCGCUGGCAGCGGUUGAGGCGGCGGUCCAACGCGUGCUCUCUGGGCGGGGUGCGGCGGGGGAUGUGCCUGCCCAGGCCGGGCGGAGUGUCUCUGACAGGGCGGGGGAUGCGCCGCGGCAGCUCGCCCGGACCCUGAGGCUGCUGGGCCCACCCUCCCGGCACCGUCCGACCCUCGGUGGCCUCGGCCUCUUCUGCCACCUCCGGUCCGACCCUGGGGCGGAGGGUGGAAGGCAGCUUCCGUCGAAGAGGAGGGGGCUGCGGUGGCCACCGCGGCGGAGCCCGAGUUAUUUUACCAAGAAAAUGGUUUGCACGACUUUGAACAUAUACUAUCCAUGCUGAUGGGACAGGAUCCAAUAUGAAUAUAAAUGAUGGAGGAAGACGACGCUUUGAAGAUAAUGAACAUACAUUACGGAUAUAUCCUGGGACUAUUUCAGAAGGGACAAUCUACUGUCCGAUUCCUGCCAGAAAAAACUCCACAGCUGCUGAGGUGAUUGAGUCUCUUAUAAACAAACUUCAUCUUGACAAAACAAAAUGUUAUGUUCUAGCAGAGGUAAAGGAAUUUGGUGGAGAAGAAUGGAUCCUCAAUCCAACAGAUUGUCCAGUUCAGCGAAUGAUGUUGUGGCCCCGAAUGGCUCUGGAAAAUCGCUUAAGUGGAGAGGACUACCGCUUUCUUCUGAGAGAGAAAAACCUUGAUGGAUCAAUCCAUUAUGGUAGCCUGCAGUCAUGGCUACGGGUAACAGAAGAACGUCGCAGGAUGAUGGAACGGGGUUUUCUUCCACAGCCUCAACAGAAAGACUUUGAUGAUUUAUGUAGUUUACCUGAUUUGAAUGAGAAAACUCUCUUAGAAAACCUACGAAAUCGCUUUAAGCAUGAAAAAAUUUAUACCUAUGUUGGCAGUAUUCUAAUAGUUAUUAACCCAUUCAAGUUUCUUCCUAUUUAUAACCCCAAAUAUGUCAAAAUGUAUGAUAACCACCAACUGGGAAAACUUGAGCCCCACAUUUAUGCUGUGGCUGAUGUAGCUUAUCAUGCCAUGCUUCAGCGCAAAAAGAAUCAGUGCAUCGUGAUUUCGGGAGAGAGUGGUUCUGGGAAGACUCAAAGCACAAACUUUCUAAUUCACCACCUUACUGCUCUCAGUCAGAAAGGAUUUGCCAGUGGAGUAGAACAGAUUAUUCUUGGAGCUGGACCAGUACUUGAGGCCUUUGGAAAUGCAAAGACAGCUCAUAAUAACAAUUCAAGUCGUUUUGGGAAGUUUAUUCAAGUAAAUUACCAGGAAACAGGCACUGUACUUGGUGCCUAUGUUGAAAAAUAUCUACUGGAGAAGUCCAGACUCGUUUAUCAAGAGCAUAAUGAACGGAACUAUCAUGUAUUCUAUUACCUCCUGGCAGGAGCAAGUGAAGAUGAGAGAUCAGCAUUCCAUCUUAAGCAACCAGAGGAAUAUCAUUAUCUCAAUCAGAUAACAAAGAAACCCCUCAGACAGAGCUGGGAUGAUUAUUGCUAUGACUCUGAGCCGGAUUGCUUCAUGGUGGAAGGAGAAGAUUUGAGACAUGACUUUGAGCGCCUACAACUUGCCAUGGAAAUGGUAGGAUUUCUUCCCAAGACACGAAGACAGAUUUUCUCUCUUCUCUCAGCCAUACUGCAUUUGGGUAAUAUCUGUUACAAAAAGAAGACAUACCGGGAUGACUCCAUUGAUAUCUGUAAUCCUGAAGUUCUGCCUAUUGUCUCAGAAUUAUUAGAGGUUAAAGAAGAGAUGCUAUUUGAAGCAUUAGUUACAAGGAAGACGGUGACAGUGGGAGAAAAGCUUAUUUUGCCAUACAAGUUGGCAGAGGCUGUGACAGUGAGGAACUCCAUGGCUAAGUCGCUAUAUAGUGCCCUGUUUGACUGGAUAGUUUUUCGAAUUAAUCAUGCACUUCUGAAUAGUAAAGAUUUAGAGCAUAAUACCAAGACAUUGUCUAUUGGUGUUCUUGAUAUUUUUGGGUUUGAAGAUUAUGAAAAUAACAGCUUUGAACAGUUCUGUAUUAAUUUUGCUAAUGAACGUUUACAGCACUACUUUAAUCAGCAUAUCUUUAAAUUGGAACAAGAGGAAUAUAGAACUGAAGGUAUCAGCUGGCACAACAUAGAUUACAUUGAUAAUACCUGCUGCAUAAAUCUUAUUAGCAAAAAACCAACAGGACUGCUUCAUCUUUUGGAUGAAGAAAGCAACUUUCCACAGGCUACAAAUCAAACGUUGCUAGACAAGUUUAAGCAUCAACAUGAAGAUAAUUCUUACAUCGAAUUUCCAGCCGUGAUGGAGCCUGCUUUCAUUAUAAAACAUUAUGCUGGAAAAGUAAAAUAUGGGGUAAAGGAUUUCCGGGAAAAAAAUACAGAUCAUAUGCGCCCAGACAUUGUAGCUCUUCUGAGAAGCAGCAAGAAUGCAUUUAUCUCUGGUAUGAUUGGAAUUGAUCCUGUAGCUGUUUUCCGAUGGGCAAUUCUCCGAGCUUUUUUCAGAGCCAUGGUUGCUUUCAGGGAAGCUGGGAAAAGAAACAUUCACAGAAAAACUGGUAAGUAGUAGUUACUAGUAUUCUACCAUACUUCAUCUUUUUUUUUUAUCUUUCUACUUCUCCACAAAAAGGAGUAGAAUUCUUGCUACGAGAUUCUCAAGGACAAAAAUCCUGCUUCUGUAGUCAAUCUAGUGUCAUCUCUUAACUGAUUUGUGACUAUGAACAGUUUUUCUUUUCUGUAAAAGAGUUAUACUGCCUUUAAAAUUAUGAGGAUAAAGUCAGAGCAUCUGUUCAUGAAGUGUUCAUUUUCUUUUCCUUUACUCUUAGUUCAUGGAUUUUUAAAAACUUUGAAAUUUAGAAAUAGAUAAAGCAGGAUACUUUUUCUGGAUGCCUCCCCCUUCAAUCAUAAAAUCUCUCAUCUCAUGUUCUGUGGGAGGGCAACUUUAUAAGCACUUUUGGCCUACUGGAAACCAAACUGUUGUUUGCUGUAGCUCUAGUCUUAGGUAGGGCCAUUGCUGCAUAGAGAAGAUUUUGUGAUACAUAUGCAGUUGAGAUUUAUGCCUUUCAGUAGCAAUGUUAUAGGGCUCACCUGUGCUUUCAGGACUCCCAAAGUGACUUACGUGGCUUUUUGGGAUGUGCACUAGUAGUAAAACUUUUAAGUUUAGCUUUUAAAUGUUUGAGACAAAUAGAUAUAUUUGAGAGAGUGUAUUUCUAAAAAUACAUGUAAAAUAAUUGAACCUAGUUUCCGUUUUUUAGAUUGUAAGGUAUUUGGACUGGUCUUUGUAGAUAUAUAGAGAGAAUUAUAGUUUAUUAGAGAAAUAAAAGGACUAUCUCAAACCUGCUUUGCCUUUUACAAAGUGAUUUCUAAGAGGUUAUCUUUGUAAAAAGCUUUAAGGAAAAUUUUUUUUCUUUAAGAUGCUUUCUUGUUUAUUAUGACAAACUUCUAAUCAAGAAAACCACUCAAAAUUGAUUAGCAUCCUGCUAAGACAUAAUUAAGAGAAGAAACUUCUUGUAUUUACGGUCAAAGCCUAUUUACUUUAUUCACAUUAUCUGUAUAUUCCUUUGGCAUUUAAAAUCUAUUAUUUGUGAAAGCUAGUUCUUACAUAUCUGUUAUUAUCAAUAUCGGCAAUGACAUGCAAUGUUAUUAAUGAUAAACAACCUGUAUUUUCUCUACCUUGAUAAAGUCUAGAUUCCUUAUUUUCUAAUCUUGUUUUCCCUUCUGGCUAGUACAGAGCUUCCAUAUAAUAAUCUCUUUUUGAAAAUUUGUAUUCAACAUAACAUGCAUAUAGAAAAGUACACAAAGCAAAAAUGUAUAGUUCAGUGAAGUACCACAAAGUAAACACAACCCUGGAACUACCACCUAGGUUAAGAAACACAACAUUCCAGCCACCCAAAAUUUCCCCUUGGAAAAAACUGUAAAAUUUUUACUUUUUAUAAAGGAAAAGAAAAA